AAAUUGAAGAGUUUGAUCAUGGCUCAGAUUGAACGCUGGCGGCAGGCCUAACACAUGCAAGUCGAACGGUAACAGGAAACAGCUUGCUGUUUCGCUGACGAGUGGCGGACGGGUGAGUAAUGUCUGGGAAACUGCCUGAUGGAGGGGGAUAACUACUGGAAACGGUAGCUAAUACCGCAUAACGUCGCAAGACCAAAGAGGGGGACCUUCGGGCCUCUUGCCAUCGGAUGUGCCCAGAUGGGAUUAGCUAGUAGGUGGGGUAACGGCUCACCUAGGCGACGAUCCCUAGCUGGUCUGAGAGGAUGACCAGCCACACUGGAACUGAGACACGGUCCAGACUCCUACGGGAGGCAGCAGUGGGGAAUAUUGCACAAUGGGCGCAAGCCUGAUGCAGCCAUGCCGCGUGUAUGAAGAAGGCCUUCGGGUUGUAAAGUACUUUCAGCGGGGAGGAAGGGAGUAAAGUUAAUACCUUUGCUCAUUGACGUUACCCGCAGAAGAAGCACCGGCUAACUCCGUGCCAGCAGCCGCGGUAAUACGGAGGGUGCAAGCGUUAAUCGGAAUUACUGGGCGUAAAGCGCACGCAGGCGGUUUGUUAAGUCAGAUGUGAAAUCCCCGGGCUCAACCUGGGAACUGCAUCUGAUACUGGCAAGCUUGAGUCUCGUAGAGGGGGGUAGAAUUCCAGGUGUAGCGGUGAAAUGCGUAGAGAUCUGGAGGAAUACCGGUGGCGAAGGCGGCCCCCUGGACGAAGACUGACGCUCAGGUGCGAAAGCGUGGGGAGCAAACAGGAUUAGAUACC
rnacentral:rRNA from 1 species